rnacentral:lncRNA from 1 species
ACAACUCAAAAUUGGUCAAAAUCAACCACUUAAUCAACUCAAGAGAGUGAAUCAAUCCCAUCAUAGCAAUGUGCUUCUUAACCUGAAAUCAAAGCUCAACUGUGAGUCACCAACCACUAGGUCCAAGCCUAGGGUCAAAGAUGGAGAAAUAAUCCAAAACAGAACAUGAAAUUCAACAUGAAUGACCCUCAAUCAAUUAAAAACACAAUCCAAAAGGUCCCAUAUCAAUAUCAUUCACCAAAU